GACAUAUUACAACGUUAAUUAGAAUGCGUACAGGCCAUUGCUUAACAAAAAACCAUUUAUAUAAAAUUAAAGUGAAGGAAGAUCCAUUCUGUGAGUGUGGCUCUGUUGAAGACCUAAAUCAUAUCUUUUUAGAAUGUCCUAUAAAUUUUUUGUUUAAUUUGGAUUUAUAUCAAAAAUUUAUUGAAAUGAAUUUUCCUACUCCACUAUCAAUAUUUACAGUUUUGUCUAAGCCAAGUGAAAAAUUAAUAGAAACUAUUAUGAUAUUUUUAAACAUUAAUAGAAUUAAAUUAUAAUGCUCAACUUUCUAUUUUUUAUUUUCUUUUUGUUUCAGUUUCCGAAUGCAGUCUGUUUGUGUGACCUCUAUCCUAUGUGCCUUUGUGUGUGAUAUAAUCUUCCUUUCAGCACGUCAUUUAUAUAUUUAAUAAAUAAUAAUAAUAACAUUUUACAGUCACAGGUCACAGAUAAGAAUCAGUGGCCUUGAUAUGGUUUAGAGCCAGUCAACAUCUUGGUCACUCCCAAAUUGAGCUGGCGGUUGCCUUGUAGCAGAGCCAUCAUAAAAAAA
rnacentral:lncRNA from 1 species